GUCAUUGGAUUAUUAUAAAAUCUAAAGGCAUAAUUAACUUAACUAUUUUUAUAAUGGGAUCAAUUUUAUAUUUUAUUAUGUAGAAUAUAGAUUCCAUCCCGGGGCGUUCUAUAUAGUUAUGUAUUUUAAUAUAAAUUUUUAUAUUAUAUAUACCUCUAACUAGAGCGUACCUUGAGCAUAUAUGUUGUGACCCGAAAGAUGGUGAACUAUACCUGAUCAGGUUGAAGUCAGGGGAAACCCUGAUGGAAGACCGAAACAGUUCUGACGUGCAAAUCGAUUGUCAGAAUUGGGUAUAGGGGCGAAAGACCAAUCGAACCAUCUAGUAGCUGGUUCCCUCCGAAGUUUCCCUCAGGAUAGCUGGUGCAUUUAAAUAUUAUGUAAAAUAAUCUUAUCUGGUAAAGCGAAUGAUUAGAGGCAUUAGGGCCGAAACGACCUUAACCUAUUCUCAAACUUUAAAUGGGUAAGAACCUCACCUUUCUUGAUAUGAAGGUGUAGGUUAUGAUAUAUUGUGCCCAGUGGGCCACUUUUGGUAAGCAGAACUGGCGCUGUGGGAUGAACCAAACGUGAUGUUACGGCGCCUAAAUUAACAACUCAUACUGAUACCAUGAAAGGCGUUGCUUGCUUAAAACAGCAGGACGGUGGACAUGGAAGUCGUAAUCCGCUAAGGAGUGUGUAACAACUCACCUGCCGAAGCAACUAGCCCUUAAAAUGGAUGGCGCUCAAGUUGUAUGCCUAUACAUUACCGCUAAAGCAUAUGAUUUAUAUGAAUUAAGAGAUUAUUUCUAUAAAUUUUGAAGUUUUAGUGAGUAGGAGGGUACAAUGGUGUGCGUAGAAGUGUUUGGUGUAAACCUGCAUGGAGCCGCCAUUGGCACAGAUCUUGGUGGUAGUAGCAAAUAAUCGAAUGAGACCUUGGAGGACUGAAGUGGAGAAGGGUUUCGUGUGAACAGUGGUUGAUCACGAGUUAGUCGGUCCUAAGUUCAAGGCGAAAGCCGAAUAAUUUUUUUAAGUUAUAUAUGAAAUAUACUUAAGAUGUUGAACGAAAGGGAAUACGGUUCCAAUUCCGUAACCUGUUGAGUAUACGUUUGUUAUUAAAAAUGGGCUUUUAUGCUCAUCCUGGUAACAGAAACAACCAUAAAGAAGCCGUCGAGAGGUAUCGGAAGAGUUUUCUUUUCUGUUUUAUAGUCGUACUACCAUGGAAGUCUUUCGAAGAGAGAUAUGGUAGAUGGGCUAGAAGAGCAUGGCAUUUACUGCUGUGUCGAUAUUUUCUCCUCGGACCUUGAAAAUUUAUGGUAGGGUCACGCAAACUUCUCAACAGGCCGUACCGAUAUCCGCAGCUGGUCUCCAAGGGAAGAGCUCAGC
rnacentral:rRNA from 1 species